rnacentral:SRP_RNA from 1 species
GCCAGGCAGGUUACCACACCUGUAUUUCAAGCUACUUGGGAGACUGAGAGAGAAGGUUCUUGUGAGUUCUGGGGUUCUGGGCUUUAGUGUGCUACUCCCAUCCAGUGUCUGCAGUAAGUGAGGCAUCAACAUGAUGAUCUCCAGGUGGGGGAGACCACCAGGUUGCCUAAGGAGCAGGUGAAUGGACCCAGUUCAGAAACAGAGCACGUCAAAACUCCUAUGCUGAUCAGUAGCAGGGUCAGCCUGUGAGUGGUCACUGCACUCUGGCCUGGGCAACUACAUAUUGAGUUGCACUUGU